GUGCUCCCUUCUCCAGCACAUAUACUAAAAUUGAAUUAAUACGGUGAAGAUUAGCAUGGCCCAUGUGUAUAAAUAACACACAAAUUCAUGGAGCAUUCCAUAUUUAA